rnacentral:rRNA from 1 species
AUUGAACGCUGGCGGCAGGCUUAACACAUGCAAGUCGAGCGGAGUGAUGGUGCUUGCACUAUCACUUAGCGGCGGACGGGUGAGUAAUGCUUAGGAAUCUGCCAUUUAGUGGGGGACAACAUUCCGAAAGGAAUGCUAAUACCGCAUACGUCCUACGGGAGAAAGCAGGGGAUCUUCGGACCUUGCGCUAAAUGAUGAGCCUAAGUCGGAUUAGCUAGUUGGUGGGGUAAAGGCCUACCAAGGCGACGAUCUGUAGCGGGUCUGAGAGGAUGAGCCGCCACACUGGGACUGGGACACGGCCCAGACUCCUACGGGAGGUAGCAGUGGGGAAUAUUGGACAAUGGGCGGAAGCCUGAUCCAGCCAUGCCGCGUGUGUGAAGAAGGCCUUUUGGUUGUAAAGCACUUUAAGCGAGGAGGAGGCUCUCCUAGUUAAUACCUAGGAAGAGUGGACGUUACUCGCAGAAUAAGCACCGGCUAACUCUGUGCCAGCCGCCGCCGUAAAAC